GAGUCUCCACAGGGUUGUAGUCUGGCGCUGGGAAGCCAGAAGAGGUGGAAAGAAAAACCGAAACAGAGCAACUCUGGCUGCGGCGGCUCAGAAGUCCUGGCAACCCGACUUCCUGUGGAAGAACCCCACCUGGCAAACCUGACUUCCGGUGGAGGAAUCCCACCUGGGACUGAGAGACGAAGGAACCAAGGCUCAGAGAGGUGCUUCCACUCACCCAAGGAGACCCAGCUGAGAACCUGCCUUGGGUCUGAUCAGAUAGUUUGGCUACAAAGCCUUCAUCAUAAAUCACCAGAGCCUCUCUCUAAGAGACCCAAUAUGCCAGCGCUGGGUGAGUGGGUGGACUCCUGCAAGGAAUGUCCCUCCCGCUCCCACGUCUGCUGCUUUCAUCAUAUCCCCAUCAACCUCUUGCUGGGCAAGAGGCAGAAGCUCAGCAAUCAAUCAAAUGAAAGACUACGCUGCCGUGACCACGCCCCUCUGCUCACCUUUGGCCAAGGCCAGGUGGCACUUUGAGUGCUUAUGCUUUCCCAGAGCGAGCGAGUGAGCGAGUUGGGAGAUCACUGGAUCCCUGCCCUGGCUCCGACACCCUGCCAAGUGUCUUUCCUUCAAAGUUGGAGAUAUUUCUGUCCCUGAAAUGCUCACAUUUCAGCACCUUGCUGAGGUCUUUUGGAAGAGACUGGCUGGUGGGAGGCUGAUGGCCAGGCUCUGCAGGGCCAGGGGACUUGGGACAGGGCUCCCCACCAGCUGGGCUGAAUGUGUGUGGCUCAGACUCCGAUAGGAGAGCUUCACAUGCAAGCAAGUGAGUCAGAUCAGAGGCUCAAAGCAAGGGCCUAGGGCAUUGCAAACCGUUUUUUAUGGUGGUUUUGUUUUCCAAGACAGGGUUUUUCCGUGUAACCCUGGCUGUCCUGGAAUUCUCUCUCUCUGAAAACGAGGCUGGUCUCCAACUCACAGACAUCUGCCUGCUUCUGCCUCCCAAGUGCUGGGAUUAAAAGCUUGCAUCAUUACUGCCCAGCUUGAGUGCUGUGGACUUUGAAUUCAGCAAGCCAAAUUUUAACUCCAGAACUGCCUUUUCCAGUGGGUGACUGAGCUGGUCGCUUUUGCACCUUGGUAGACCGAAGCCCAUGGUAGCAGUUGCCUUGUAGGCUUAGAAAAGUGUCAGCCUUCAGUAAAAAUGGAUCAUUACCUGAACAUC
rnacentral:lncRNA from 1 species